GACGAACGCUGGCGGCGUGCUUAACACAUGCAAGUCGAACGAAGAGCGAUGGAAGCUUGCUUCUAUCAAUCUUAGUGGCGAACGGGUGAGUAACGCGUAAUCAACCUGCCCUUCAGAGGGGGACAACAGUUGGAAACGACUGCUAAUACCGCAUACGAUCUAAUCUCGGCAUCGAGGAAAGAUGAAAGGUGGCCUCUAUUUAUAAGCUAUCACUGAAGGAGGGGAUUGCGUCUGAUUAGCUAGUUGGAGGGGUAACGGCCCACCAAGGCGAUGAUCAGUAGCCGGUCUGAGAGGAUGAACGGCCACAUUGGGACUGAGACACGGCCCAGACUCCUACGGGAGGCGGCAGUGGGGAAUCUUCCGCAAUGGACGAAAGUCUGACGGAGCAACGCCGCGUGAGUGAUGACGGCCUUCGGGUUGUAAAGCUCUGUUAAUCGGGACGAAAGGCCUUCUUGCGAACAGUUAGAAGGAUUGACGGUACCGGAAUAGAAAGCCACGGCUAACUACGUG
rnacentral:rRNA from 1 species